UGAGACUCUGAGGGGAUAGCAUGCAUUUCUGGAGACCUCUUUUCUAGAGAUGAGGGACCAGGGACAGAGACUUUGUCACUCUCUAUCAUCUGAAGGCCAAAAACAGGACACCUAUUAAUUGUAACGUCCACAUGUAUUUUUUAAAUUGCCGCAUCCCGGUAUCAGCAGGGAGAGCAGCUUGCAGCUUGGUUUAACAUGCUGCUAACUGCCACCUACAGAUGCAAGCAUGAAACAUAUACAGUCCCUGGGCCUAUUGAAUUAUUUAAAGUAUAAAGCAUAAUGCAAUGCUUUUGCUGUGCCAAAGAGAAAUGAUUCUCUUUGGAGAUCAUAUCCUGGAGAUUGUAUUAGACUCGUCUCCCCAGUUCCCUGCUUUCAGCCUUUCCAGUAACAUGAAGCACUUAUCAAAUUAGAAUUCUUCAGAAACAGAAUGGCACAGACCAGUCUAUAUUUAGCAACAACAACCCCAAAGCAGCUGAAUCAGCUGACUGGAAGCUGCUACCCUGAUGUGCAGCCUUGGUUUAGAUAGCACAUAUUCAACGCUAGAAUCAAGGAGGACAGACAGCACAAGAGAAGAGACGCUGAGCCUGGACAUUUAAGAGCAUCUGGGUCAUACCCUGAAACAGAUCCAGUCAGAAAUGGCUCCUCGGAUAAGACUGAACUUAGCUAAGCCUCUUCCAACCAUCAGUGAAGCUUUUGAGGAAGUGCUAGAAGACAUAACAAGCAACACAAAAAGUUUUGGGAAUGUUUAUCUGAGUUCGGAUUCUUGUUCUGGUGAAGAAAACUACCUUCAAUCUGUCUACCAGCAGGCAAGGCCUGCGUUCCUGGUACCACCAGAAAAUAAGCAUAAAAUCCAAGACAUCAACAAAUCUAGAAAGCUACACAAUAAUUACAGGGUCUUAAAAUUCUCUGAAACACCAAAAAUGGUCUCCAGAUACACCCUUCCUAACAUGCUAUUGUUAGAGAGACAGUGCUUCGUUCUUGAUUGCAUCAAAACUUACUCCAGCUCAAACAUGGACCCAUUGGAUACAGACACUCAGAAAAAUCAUAGGUGGAGAUGUCCUAAGGGCUAUGAGAACACUGAUAAUGAUGACGCAAAGCACAACUUUCAUGGCAUCAGUCUGGGCACACCUCAAGAAAAAGUAAUAGAGAAACGCGAUCUUGUCAGCCUCUUUCCAAGAAUUCCCUCCCCGAGACCACCGCCCAAGGAAGAUGGUGGCCAAGAGCUAAGAAACCUGAAAAACCAAGACAAGCACGGCCUGCAUUGGAAAGACAGGUCAAAGGGAGAGGAGGUAGAACUGAUUGCUGGUUGCACUUCUGUGGGGCCCCAUCAUGACUAGGGGGCCUGUUCUUGAAUCAAGAAAGAAGAGCUCUGAAGAUUAUUGCCUUUAUAUUAACAUCCUCCCUCCUGCCCCUCUAUAUGGAAAGAUACCAUAAUCUUUUUCUUUUAACCAUCCAUUUGAGCAGCUGUGUUGUGCAAGGUCUAGAAACGCUGCCAUGUUCUGUACACAAGAUUCCUAGUGUGAUAAUUAUAUAUGUACUAUAUGUGAUGUGAGAAUUAAUGGAAAUAAACAUUUAAAAGAUCUUCCUGCUGUGGUGACU
ensembl:lncRNA